AGACUGCGGCAGACGGAGGUUCUAAAGAAGGACUACAGGAGCCUGAUCGAGACAGUACGCAGCACAGUGCCUAAAGCAACGAUCAUUGUGUCUGGACCGCUUCCCACAUACCGCCAAGGACAAGAAAGAAUCGGACCAGCUGUUCUGUCGGACAACAUCUACAAGACGUUAUGCACCAGAUGACAAGACGCGAUCAUCUCGGGCUUCAUUCACUCCGG